CCUACGGGAGGCAGCAGUGGGGAAUAUUGCACAAUGGGGGAAACCCUGAUGCAGCGACGCCGCGUGCGUGAAGAAGUAUUUCGGUAUGUAAAGCUCUAUCAGCAGGGAAGAAAAUGACGGUACCUGAUUAAUAAGCCCCGGCUAACUCCGUCCCAGCAGCCGCGGUAAUACGUAGGGGGCAAGCGUUCUACGGCUUUACUGGGUGGAAAGGGAGCGUAGACGGCAGCACAAGUCUGGAGUGAAAUGCCGGGGCUGAACCCCGGAACUGCUUUGGAAACUGUGCAGCGAGAGUGCAGGAGAGGUAAGUGGAAUUCGUAGUGUAGCGGUGAAAUGCGUAGAUAUUAGGAGGAACACCAGUGGCGAAGGCGGCUUACUGGACUGUAACUGACGUUGAGGCUCGAAAGCGUGGGGAGCAAACAGGAGUAGAUACCCUGGUAGUC
rnacentral:rRNA from 1 species